rnacentral:tRNA from 2 species
GCUGAUGUAGCUCAGUAGGUAGAGCACUUCCUUGGUAAGGAAGAGGUUUCGGCAGUUCGAGUCUGCUCAUCAGCUCCA